UACGUAGGCGGCAAGCGUUGUCCGGAAUUACUGGGUGUAAAGCGCGUGUAGGCGGCAGACCAAGUCGGCGGUGAAAGCGCCCGGCUCAACUGGGCGAGGUCCGUGGAAACUGGUCAGCUGGAGGACGGUAGAGGCGAGUGGAAUUCCCGGUGUAGUGGUGAAAUGCGUAGAGAUCGGGAGGAACACCUGUGGCGAAGGCGGCUCGCUGGGCCGGUCCUGACGCUGAGACGCGAAGGCGUGGGGAGCGAACGGG
rnacentral:rRNA from 1 species